UCCAGUUUAACACUGGCAGUCUCUUUAGAGUGCCCAACUUAAUGGUGGCAACUAAAGAUAGGGGUUGCGCUCGUUGCCGGACUUAACCGAACAUCUUACGACACGAGCUGACGACAGCCAUGCAGCACCUGUCUUGGAGUCCCCGAAGGGAAAGCCUCAUCUCUGAGGAUGUCUCCAGAUGUCAAGACCAGGUAAGGUUCUUCGCGUUGCGUCGAAUUGAACCACAUACUCCACCGCUUGUGCGGGCCCCCGUCAAUUCCUUUGAGUUUUAGUCUUGCGACCGUACUUCCCAGGCGGGAUACUUAAUGCGUAAGCUUUGGUACUCAGAGGGUUAACUCUCCGAACACCUAGUAUCCAUAGUUUAAGGCGUGGACUAC
rnacentral:misc_RNA from 1 species